rnacentral:rRNA from 1 species
UACAGAGGGUGCAAGCGUUGUUCGGAAUUACUGGGCGUAAAGCGCGCGCAGGCGGCCCUUUAAGUCUACGGGUGAAAUGCCGGGGCUCAACCCCGAGCUUGCCCGGGAUACUGGAGGGCUGGAGACAGGUAGAGGCGAGUGGAAUUCCGGGUGUAGCGGUGGAAUGCGUAGAGAUCCGGAAGAACACCGGAGGCGAAGGCGGCUCGCUGGGCCUGGUCUGACGCUGAGGCGCGAAAGCGUGGGGAGCGAACAGG